UACGUAGGUGGCAAGCGUUGUCCGGAUUUAUUGGGCGUAAAGAGCGUGUAGGCGGCCAUACAGGUCCGUUGUGAAAACUGGAGGCUUAACCUCCAGACGUCGAUGGAAACCGUAUGGCUAGAGUCCGGAAGAGGAGAGUGGAAUUCCUGGUGUAGCGGUGAAAUGCGCAGAUAUCAGGAAGAACACCCGUGGCGAAGGCGGCUCUCUGGGACGGUACUGACGCUGAGGCGCGAAAGCUAGGGGAGCAAACAGG
rnacentral:rRNA from 1 species